rnacentral:lncRNA from 1 species
GGGUGAAUGGUUAGACAACCUGUGGUACAUGCAUAUCACAGACUACUCUUCAGCUAUAAAAAGUGUUGACCUAAAAGGAAGAGGCUGAGGCACAAAAUAUAAUUUAAAGAGUUUACUUGAGACAAAGUUAAGACAGCUGCCGGGAAGACUCAGAUGCAGUUUCCUAAGGCUUUGUGAGGCACCGAGUCAAGGGAAGAGAGGAAGUGCUAAAUCUCACCAGACACUGGAGAGUGAUAUGGGGAUGCACCGUCAUGGUCCUCCCUGCUUUGCCAUGCUGAUGAUAAUGAGAAGGGACUGUGGAUGGACUUCACAUGAGGAGAGCCCUGCUAUGGAAUGGCACUCAAGUGCUCUAUUUUUCCACCCUCAGCUCUGACACAUCUCUGACAGGAGGCAAGUAGACACAUGGUACUGAGGAGAGAGGCCAUUUCUCUUACUGUCUCCUGUCUCUGAAGAGAAUGAGGAAGUAAAAGCUGAAGAAUAACAGGAAUGAAGUCAGUGGCAAGACCAACUGGUGCCACUGACCAGACCUGAGAUUGAAAGUUUAACCCUCCCCA